ACGAACGCUGGCGGCGUGCUUAACACCUGCAAGUCGCACGGUGAAGCUCCAGCUUGCUGGAGUGGAUCAGUGGCGAACGGGUGAGUAACACGUGAGCAACCUGCCCCUGACUCUGGAAUAAGCGCUGGAAACGGCGUCUAAUACUGGAUACGAGAAGGGUCCGCAUGGGCACUUUCUGGAAAGUUUUUCGGUUGGGGAUGGGCUCGCGGCCUAUCAGCUUGUUGGUGAGGUAAUGGCUCACCAAGGCGACGACGGGUAGCCGGCCUGAGAGGGCGACCGGCCACACUGGGACUGAGACACGGCCCAGACUCCUACGGGAGGCAGCAGUGGGGAAUAUUGCACAAUGGGCGAAAGCCUGAUGCAGCGACGCCGCGUGAGGGAUGACGGCCUUCGGGUUGUAAACCUCUUUCAGCAGGGAAGAAGCGAAAGUGACGGUACCUGCAGAAGAAGCACCGGCUAACUACGUG
rnacentral:rRNA from 1 species